rnacentral:lncRNA from 1 species
GCCAUCUUGGUAACUAAAGUUAAUUUGAAAGGGUUGGCACAUCAUAUAAAUUCAAGGACUAUUCAUUCUUUUAAUGCCACCUGGGUAUGGAUCAUCUACAGUGUUCAUCCUAAGAUACUGGGAAUUAUUGUCUCAUAUCUGAUUCCCUUGACCUGUGCAGUUGUUGUGUUUCAGUCUAAAGAACUCGAAGCAGCAAGACUGUAUUCCGAAUCACCUGUUCUGGGGAAGAUGCCAGUCAAUAAUGUCUUAUUGAAAGACCGGGCCCAGCUAAAGAAAAUGAAGGAAUUGAGCUGCAGUUGGAUUUCAUCAUCUAAACAUGCAAUGGUUCCUGAGCAGAAGGGAAAAUGAGCUUAAACAUGAGGCUUGGAGGAGAAAGAAGGGCUGGGGAGAAAUAUGGCAAUUCUUUACCAUCGGAGCGAGCAUGGAAAUCCAGUAGCAGUGCUCUUGCAUUGGCUGGGAAUUGAACCCAGGCCUCCUGCAUGGCAGGUGAGAAUUCUACCACAUACCCACCAAUGCUUACACCUACAUUCUUUAGGUUGUUAAGUAAUCUGGACAUCAGCUUCAAAGACAUAGGAGGCACUCUGGCCAGUUGUGCUUGACAAUCCAUUACUUCAUUAGUAGGAUUUAUUGGACAGGUUCCAUUGGUUUUUUGAUUGCAAAAUUAAACAGAAAACUGAGAAACUUUUGGAUGGAUUUCCCACAAGAAUUCUCUGUUCCUCAGAACAGACUGUGAUAUAGGAGACCUGGUUAUCUGGAAUCUGGGAGUUGGAAUAAAGGGCCUUUGGGGCCAAGACAGGCUCCAGGUGAUGGUAGUAUGUGAGCUCUGUAGGAGAGAGCUGGAACAAUGGAAUCAGAGCCAGUUACUGGGUAUCUGAGCAGCUGGACACUUGCUGGGGAGGCAGGUGAUAAGAAUAGAGCUAAUGUUGAUCCUGAGUCAAUCUUUUGCUA